CAGGUAGGUGGUCUGUUAAGUCUUCUGUGAAAAUCCGGGGCUCAACCCCGUGAAAUGCAGGUGAAACUGGCAGACUUGAGACCGGUAGAGGCUAGCGGAAUUCCUGGUGUAGCGGUGGAAUGCGUAGAUAUCAGGAAGAACACCUGUGGCGAAGGCGGCUAGCUGGGCCGGUUCUGACACUGAACUGCGAAAGCGUGGGGAGCAAAC
rnacentral:rRNA from 1 species